UCUUCGAAGACAUUGAUAAAAUUGGAAUGAUACAGGGAAGAUUAGCAUGCCCUUACGCAAAGAUGACACGCAUAAAUUGAGAAAUAAAUCUAAAUUUU